AGUUAAUGAGCUUGAUAUAAGCAUAUAUUUUGAAAAUAUAAGAUAGAUUAAUUAAUCUAUUAACUU
rnacentral:tRNA from 2 species